UUCUCCAUUUGUGAUAAAGUUUUAUGAAUCCUCUCAAUCUUGGAAAAGUUAUCGUCGUUGUAUCUAAUAUAUCAAUGCCCCUAGGUAAUUUAGCAGUACCUCUAAUUUCCUUGCUUCUCUUUAAGUUUUUAGUUUUCCUGCAUAAAUCCUUAUAUCCUUAUUUUUUCUCGCCAUAAUCCAUUUACAUAUUACGAUUAAGAAAUGUAUGCUGUAACACUGCUUGGUUUCCUGUAUUUGCCUCUUCAGUAUUGGACAAUGAACAAUCGGACUCUGUGGCACUAUCCAGGUCACAGGUGUGAAAGAAAAAGGCUAACGCCUUUUUCUUUAUCCAGGAUCUCCAAAAAUCAAUACUCGGAUUUUUUCUCAAAACAUUUUAGGUGAACUAACGGAUACGAACAAACGAAAUUCACUGUUUUCUUUGACCUUCUAAUAAUAAAGCAUGUUUUGAAUUGACAUCAAAGACCUUCGAUACGGUCCAUCAAAUUUUCGGUCCUUUAAUAUUUUGCGGAUAUCAUAGAUAGCAGGAGUAAAUUAUACUGACGCGUCACGUACCUGGGUGCAUCGGACUUAUGCCGAUGUUUAAAUCACAAGCUAACAAUUCUUAGUAUGGAGGGACGAGACCCAGUAAGGAUGAACUCGUAGACCAAUAGAAGUUUGCAUGAAUAACACAAAUAUAAGGUAAAGUAGAAUCACCUACAAACCUAUUGGUACAAAUUGCAAGUUAGAGAUAGUUGUUACCUUUAUAGCAAAACAACCCUUAGGUAUCUCCUUGCCAAAGAUAAUAUUCUGUUCAACCUUAAGAUCAUUAUCUAGGCCAAGGAAAUUCCCGUUGUCAUAUUGAGCAAUUGGAAGGUUAUACCAAUAGUUUGGUUUAAUUAGAAUUUAGUGCUUUAAUUACAUCUUUAAUUCGUGUAACUCGUAGAUGGCGUUAGCUGCUCUUCGCUUUGAAUUUCAAACAAUUUACUGGAAUCAAGUUGUCUUCUUCUCUCUCUCUCUCUCUCUCUCUCUCUGACUAACGUGAUUUUUCUGUCUGUCUUUGUCAUUGGUCACGUACGCCAUGCUCAAGGAUCUACUUUUUACGUAUUGGCAUUUUCGAUACCGGGCUGUUGUUUCCCAUUGUUUUUCCUGUAAUUUAAAUACUUUGCCUUUUGGCAUUAGAUUGAUUUCCGUACUCUCUGCAACUUAAAGCUAAGCAAAGCAACAUUGUACUGUCAGUUCUGGUAAAACUGGGCCUACGUGAGAUUAUCCAUCGUAAAGGUAUCCAGAAAUUGCAUUUUGGCUUUCUUUCCAAAUGGUGUGGUCUUCAGGUUAACAAGUUCGAAUUGCUCGAUGUUGGGGUUCGACCUCAUAGUUAAAGUCCAGUUCAGAGAUCUAUUAGAAUCUUUGAUGUGUCGCAGAUGCCGCACUAACUAGUCCGUGCGCCUAUGUCAUAUUUAUUGUUGCAUGAUAUAUAUGUUUAAAUGGCAAAAUUUUAUAUUGUCUAUCUAUGAAAUCAUUUUAAAAAAAACGUAAAACGCCAUGUUUUAUACUAUUUUUUAUUUUUCUUUCGAAAAUGUCAAUUUUUAGAAAGAAAAUAAUACCACAAGAAAAUAAUAUCAAAAAAUUGACCGCGGACUAAAAUCCAAGCAUCUUACAAAAUAUUUUAAACACUUCCAGCACUCACAGACUUGUCACCUCUUUUUAGCCAAUCUAUUAAACAAAGAUAAAACACCUGCGUUCUGACAAUUCCUACUUUAGGCUAUGCAAGUGAUUGUGCAUCUCUCUCUAUCCCACUGAAUUUAAGAAUUACGGGGCCGUACCCAAAUAAAUUUUUGGACCGUUUUUGUAUUAUUUUCGUCGUGUUUUUAAAGAGAUCUACGGAUGGGUCUAUCGCCUUUAAAAUAGUUGUUGGAUGGGUCUAUCAGCUUUAAUAGUUAGGAGGGGGGCCAUGUGAUGUUAUUAUUUGAUGUGUUUUGCCGGUAAUGCUUUUUACACGUUUAUGAAAGUAAAGAAUUUAGAAUGUAGCCUGUAUUCCUGUAAAUUUUUUGCAGUUUUUACUAUGAGGAACAGUGUUUUUUUAUUUGUGUUUGUGCAUUUGUUUUAGUAUUAUACCUAAAGACCUUAAAAUGUUUCGACCCUGGAAAAAUAGGCAGGAAAAUUUGGCAAAUGAAGAGGAAAGUGUUUGUGCGGGCUUACGGAGGCCGUGGGUGUACAAGAAAGACAAUAACAUUUGUGAAAAAAAAAAUAAGAGUGAUCUGGCAGUGAUUUAGACUUACAUAGUUCUGAUAGUUCAUUUUCUAGUAUUGAGGAAGCAAAAAGAAGCAAGGGAAGUAGAAGCUACAGAGGAAAUCAAGCAGUUUUAAAAGAACAAAUUUAUCUAAAUAUCUAUAACAAGAAAUGAUACUCAGUUCACAAAUGAUUGUAGUGCUUUGCAAAAAAUAGCGUUUUUAACAGGGGUUCCCUAUAGUACAAUAUGCCUGUAAAAAGAAGGAUUAAACACAGAAUAAAAAGGAAAGAUGCAGGACAAUCAAAGGGACUUGACAUGGAUAUUGCCAAAUUGCUAAGGAAAGGUGUGUAUUCUAAAUACAAAAACAAUGAGGUUCUGACCAUAUAGACACCUUAUCGGCAAGGGACAAACAUUUCUCAGUCUCAACCUUGCAGAGAUACCUGAUAAAACUUGGAUUUAAGCAUAAGAUGGUUAACAAAAGAGCUGCUGUAAUGGAAUUUUCAGGUGGUGUAUAGAAUAUUUGAGGAAAAUUUAAAAAAUUUGGGAGGAAGAAAGAUCCAUAUAUUAUUUAACCGAAACAUGAUAUGAUACAUUUAUGAUUGAUGUAUGAUUUCCAUUCUCUGGGAAAAAAGUCUCUUUUUUGCCAUACUUACUGCCCCUGUUGUCCUUCAGUGAUACAAUAAAGACUGCUUCUUCCACCAUUCUCUGGGAAAAACCCUGUUUUGCUAUGCUUACUACCCCUGUUGUCCUUCAGCAACACAAUGAAGACUGCUUCUUCCUCCAUUCUCUGGAAAAAAGUCCCUUUUUUGCCAUACUUACUGCCCCUGUUUGUCCUUCAGCGACACAAUAAAGUAUAUAUAAUGUAAUGCUUUAGAAUCCAUAUGCUGAUGUGCGAGAUGAAGUUGGAAUCCAUGGCGGCAACAGAGAAACUGUUUCCUUCCUUAAUGGAAGAAACUGCUAAAGAACAAUGGCAAAAAAACAGAAUUUACAAAAUUUGUAUUAACUUUUUGGGCCAGAUUCAAAAGAGUGGUUAAAUUUAUAAAAGUAUUUAGUAUCCUCACUGUAGUUUUAGGAUCCAGUAUA
rnacentral:lncRNA from 1 species